AUUGAACGCUGGCGGCAGGCCUAACACAUGCAAGUCGAGCGGAUGAAGGGAGCUUUCUCCUGGAUUCAGCUGCUGACGGGUGAGUAAUGCCUAUGAAUCUGCCUGGUAGUGGUUGAUAACGUCCGGAAACUGGCUCUUAUACCGCAUACUUCCUGAGGGAGAAAGUGGGUGAUCUUCUGACCUCACGCUAUCAGAUGAUCCUAGUUCGUAUUAGCUAGUUGUUUUGGUAAAGUCCUACCAACGCGACGAUCCGUAACUGGUCUUAGAGGAUGAUCAGUCACACUGGAACUGAGACACGGUACAGACUCCUAAGGGAGGCAGCAGUGGGGAAUAUUGGACAAUGGGCGAAAGAAUGAUCCAGCCAUGCCGCGUGUGUGAAGAAGGUCUUAGGAUUGUAAAGCACUUUAAGUUGGGAGGAAGGGCAGUAAGAUAAUACCUUGCUGUUUUGACGUUACCAACAGAAUAAGCACCGGCUAACUUCGUG
rnacentral:rRNA from 1 species